CGGGAGGCAGAGUUUGCAGUGAGCCGAGAUCUCCCCACUGCACUCCAGCCUGCGUGACAGAGUGAGAUUCUGUCUCCAAAAAAAAGAAAAAAAAAUGAGACAAGGAAAACUCACUGAAAACAAAGUAAUUGGAAAUAUUAGGCAUGAAAAUGCAAUAUUUGAAAUGCAAAACAAACACAAUAAAUAGUAGAAUGGACAUAACCGAAAAAAAAAUCAUAAGACUGAAGAUCACAGUGAGGAACUUUUUCUAAUUAGACACAUUAUAGCAAAAUUCCAGAACGCCAAAAACAAAGAGAAACUGAUCAAAGCCUGUAGAGGAAGGAGCAGCUUGCUCACAAUAACAGCAGUAAGACUCAUGCCAGAUUUCUCCGGAUGCAAUCGAUGGAAGGCAGCCUCCCCCCGGAUACCUCUGGCUGCGAGUACCAGCUUGCUCCUCUUUGUCACCCGGUAAAUCAGAUGUCUGCACCAUGGCAAUGCGUGGAGCAAAUGAUUAAACUGUCCACGAAGGCCGCGGAGGUCUUCAUCGAGGUUAACUGCUUGUGAAUUUGCAGCUCAGGGAGGGUCUGUGGGAGCCCACGAGACGUUCUUGUAUCAACCGACGGCCUUCCUCGCCUGUUGGUGUCACACAGGGUGGCCUCACCUUCCCGAAGAGGCCUCAGCCCGUGAACGGGGACCUGUGAGUCGUGGGCAGGACUCAAGUGCCAAAGCCUGAAGGUUUUGGGGGGAGCAGAGUCCACACGCACCUUGGUGCUUUCCACAACCUGUUCCUCAAAGGGAUGGUUUGGGGACCUUAGGAAGGAGAUGUUGUCAGGCGUUUACCUGACCUGGUCUUCACAUCUUCCUGGAUCCUUCCAACUUUGCCACUUGCUCCUGUCCCCGCCAUUGCUCUAACAAAUUAUCACCAAGCUCCGUGAACUCCUGGCUGGACUCAGGUGGAAAUUCUGCAUCCUUGGCUCGUGGUGUGACCCGCUGACAAUGCUCUGUUCCGACCCUCUCCUCCCUCCCCUUCCUGGCUCUCGGACCCUCCUGGCCACGUCAUCAGACCCUCUCCUCCCUGCCCUUCCUGGCUCUCGGACCC
rnacentral:lncRNA from 10 species